CCUGCUCCAGCGCCAUGAUGUGAUCCACUGACAAGGAGGGACGCCAAUAAGGCAGUUUAGUUCUUGUUGCUUGCAAGAUGUAGGACUCUCGGCUCCCGCACUAUAUCUGCCUAGAAGCCAUGUUCUGCAUCAUGAUGCUUAAGGAAUGAACCUCUGAAACUCGCCUUCAUCCCAUGGCUGAUGGAAGCAGAGGCAGACACCCACAGC